AACGAACGCUGGCGGCAUGCCUAAUACAUGCAAGUCGAACGAGAUCUUCGGAUCUAGUGGCGCACGGGUGCGUAACGCGUGGGAAUCUGCCCUUGGGUUCGGAAUAACUUCUGGAAACGGAAGCUAAUACCGGAUGAUGACGUAAGUCCAAAGAUUUAUCGCCCAAGGAUGAGCCCGCGUAGGAUUAGGUAGUUGGUGAGGUAAAGGCUCACCAAGCCGACGAUCCUUAGCUGGUCUGAGAGGAUGAUCAGCCACACUGGGACUGAGACACGGCCCAGACUCCUACGGGAGGCAGCAGUAGGGAAUAUUGGACAAUGGGCGAAAGCCUGAUCCAGCAAUGCCGCGUGAGUGAUGAAGGCCUUAGGGUUGUAAAGCUCUUUUACCCGGGAUGAUAAUGACAGUACCGGGAGAAUAAGCUCCGGCUAACUCCGUGC
rnacentral:rRNA from 1 species